UAGGGAAUCUUCCGCAAUGGACGCAAGUCUGACGGAGCAACGCCGCGUGAGUGAAGAAGGAUUUCGGUUCGUAAAACUCUGUUGUUAGAGAAGAACAGCGCAUAGAGUAACUGUUAUGCGUGUGACGGUAUCUAACCAGAAAGCCACGGCUAACUACGUGCCAGCAGCCGCGGUAAUACGUAGGUGGCAAGCGUUGUCCGGAUUUAUUGGGCGUAAAGCGAGCGCAGGCGGUCAAUUAAGUCUGAUGUGAAAGCCCCCGGCUCAACCGGGGUGGGUCAGUGAAAACUGGUUGACUUGAGUGCAGAAGAGGAGAGUGGAAUUCCAUGUGUAGCGGUGAGAUGCGUAGAUAGAUGGAGGAACACCAGUGGCGAAAGCGGCUCUCUGGUCUGUAACUGACGCUGAUGUGCGAAAGCGUGGGGAUCAAACAGG
rnacentral:rRNA from 1 species